ensembl:rRNA 5S_rRNA 5S ribosomal RNA
GUCUACAGCCAUACCACCCUAAACAUGCCUGAUCCCAUCUGAUCUCAGAAGCUAAGCAGGGUUGGACCUGGUUAGUAUCUGGAUGAGAAAAGUAUAUGGUAACUGGUAAUUGUAAUUU